GUCCAUGUUGCGGCGGACCAGAGCCAGAACGCCCCGAGCGUAAUGGCAGCGGCCGGCCAGAAUCUCGUCGUCAUGACGAGCAGGCCGGCCGU
rnacentral:sRNA from 17 species